rnacentral:rRNA from 1 species
CCGGAGGCAGCAGUGGGGAAUUUUGGACAAUGGGGGCAACCCUGAUCCAGCAAUGCCGCGUGUGCGACGAAGGCCUUCGGGUUGUAAAGCACUUUUGGCGAGAACGAAACGGUUUGGAUUAAUACUCCGAACUAAUGACGGUACUCGCAGAAUAAGCACCGGCUAACUACGUGCCAGCAGCCGCGGUAAUACGUAGGGUGCAAGCGUUAAUCGGAAUUACUGGGCGUAAAGCGAGCGCAGGCGGCUAUAUAAGACAGAUGUGAAAUCCCCGGGCUUAACCUGGGAACUGCAUUUGUGACUGUAUGGCUAGAGUGUGUCAGAGGGAGGUAGAAUUCCGCGUGUAGCAGUGAAAUGCGUAGAUAUGCGGAGGAAUACCGAUGGCGAAGGCAGCCUCCUGGGAUAACACUGACGCUCAUGCUCGAAAGCGUGGGGAGCAAACAGGAUUAGAUACCCGUGUAGUCCU